ensembl:lncRNA
UGGUGUCUUUAUUCGUUUAUUUCUCACAUUUUCCACAAAACCAUCUGGAGCUUCUGAGUGUAGUAGGGAAGAAGUUCCAGGUUGAUCUGGAAAUCUGGAGUUGGAGGAACAUUUCAGAGCUGGUAGAAGUUUUUCUUUUGGAUAUAAUGCUUGGUGGGUCCAGCUGAAACAAGUAGAAGUGAAUAAUAAAUGAUUUUACAGUUGUAUGUUCCCAGCCUCUACUCCAGGGGUUGACAUAGGCACGCGUGCCACCACUGGUACGUGGAAGCAUAAUCUUUGCACACUUAAAAAAUAAAUAAAUAAGAAAAUCUUAUUUUUUAUUUUAUUAUUAUUAUCGUUAAAAAGAAUUAUGCACAAUACGGCAGCAUAAUUAUUACUGCCGGUUUUCUUUGCACUAUAUUCUGUUUUGGGCAUUUCCUCCCUGUGCAAAUAGGAUUAAAUGAGUUACUGAAAGCAUUGUUCUGAAAUGGGAUCAAUUGAGAAGAAAAUAUUUAAAAUAUUGUUGCAAGUGGCCUGUAUGCAUCGCCUUCACAUGGUUUUGCAAAGCUGUACAUGUCUUAAAGAUAUUGAUGUGGAUGUUGGAAACAUCCACAUCAAUACCACCAAUAAACCAAAAGUAGCACAAAUAACCCCCUCCAAAAAGUGAACUGUUGUCACCACGACACAAAUGGUCGCUUAAGAGUUACUGCAAUCUACAUGUUCAGUGUAGCACACCCCUGUGACCAAUCAAAAUGGAAAGCCACACCCACAACACUGAUCACUAGUGUGGCUCACUACCACACAAACUGGCUAGCAACCUACACAAGUGAUCUACAGAAGUAGGCUGACCACCAUCUCACUAAAGGUCACCUUUUAACGUACACCUCACCUUCAUUUAAUGGGCAUAAAAAAUGCUGACCUUCACAGAAAGUGGGCCUGUCCACAUACAUAUGAUACAAACACCACAAGCCUUCUGUUAAUGAACCUGCAAUGACCAUCAGUCAAUCAGCAUCCAUUAACUCUAAUGAGCUUCAUGCUCAUACACACAUAGGGCUCACCAAAAGCCACACGUACAAAAGCUACUGAUUACUUAAUGAACAGGUUAAAUACAUGGCUCAAAAUUGCUCCAGACAAAAGUGUGGCGAGCAUGGCUGUUUGGCAAAAGUCUGUACACAUGUUGAUGAGAAAAGCAAUCCCCAGACCUAUUCAAGCUAGCUAGACUAACCUAACUAUCUUCCGAGACAUACCGGGCACGAGGCUAACAUGCCCCCUCCCCAGGGUAGCCUCUCCACAGACUUAAUCUGUCCAGGGAGUGCCAAAAUAAGUUCAGGCCAAAACAACCAUGCUCACUUCCUUAAAUUAGAGCAACUGACCUCCAUGAAAAGCAAGAGUGAGUCUUCCAGCCAUAUUUCCCCUGCACUGACUAAAGUGCAUUCAAAAAAGCAGCAAGGUUUGCAACCGCCAAUGCCAGACAUAUAGAAACAGACAAAAUGAGUUCCAUCAUGGAACUUCCCAAUUUCAAAAUUUGCGGCUCAAGUCAGCAAUUAAAUGUGCAGAAGCCAAGUUGGUCCAUACAAGUGCAGAUAAAGCCACAGAGCUUUUGGCAGUGGACUACCCUGAACAUAAAGGCUCAAGCCAAUUAGUAAGGUCACCUGUGUGCUCUUCGUUUACCAAUUUGAGAAUGAGCAACUUUGUGCCGGGGACUGUUUUGUCUGUGGCUUUGGCAGCCCACGUUUGUUUCCCUCCUCUUUCUCCAUCUAUCUCACAUUUUGGGUGGCAGACCGAAGGCUGGAGAUGACUGCAGAGGGGCUUCGUCUUUGUUUUGGCUUCCUAGAGAAGGGGGGGGGAGGUGUUACGCCCCUCUGCACCCACUGGCAAUGCAUUGGUCUUUGGGUGGUGCUGGGGCACAAUCAAGUUAAACGUGCACACUUCAGCCUCAGAAGGGGGCUUGCUCUCUGUGUUUGUCCCUGUUCUGUGGGCAUGUCUCAGCCCAUGCUCAGGUGUGCUGCAUCAGUGGAGCUGAAUAGGAGCACCCGGACCGCUCGUCAGGACCGGAGUUCAAAGCGACAGAUUCCCCUUCCCAUGGGGGAUAGUUUGGGUCAUGUGACUGCUGGCUGGUCGUGCCACCUCUCUGGGAUUUGUCUUGUCUUUAUGUUUUGGACUUUGUUGUAUACCUUAAUGUCGUGUCCUUUUCAUGUUUAUGUAAAUAAAUCCCACUGGUUGGGUUUUUGUAAGAGGUGUCCUUUGAUAUUUGGGGUCAAGGGUGGUUUGUUGUUAGCCCCAGUAGGGCCAACUAGAGGUGGGGCGUAACACUGUAGCAAGGUGGGGCAUAGCAAGUAUAACAACAAAAAAACAUUUAAAAUGUUGAUGCAUGAUUGUUGACUAUAUGGAAAUAAUACAAUUCCAGAUCUUCUGGAAAUGUUUUUGGUUGCUGUCAUAAAACAGCUUAAUAUUUAAUAUAUUGUUGCUUAAGGCACACUCAUUAACAGUAUUUUCUGUUUUUUUUUAAAUCAACUUGCUUUUUCUUUUUUCUAGAAACAAAUAUGGGGAUUCCAGGGGCAUCUCAAAAUAAAGUGGCUUAGUCCUUCUAGUCCUUCUGGCAAUAGAAUGAACGGUUUAAAAACAUAACCAUGUUUACCACCUCAGGUGAAUUAUCCUAUCCCCAGUCAUAUAUAUAGGCAGUGGCGAAGCUAGACCUUUUUUGGGUGGGCUCAAGCCCACCCAAAACUUGCCUUAGCCCACCCUAUCGUUUCGUCCUCAAAUCGAAUGUUCUCUUUUUACUAGAGCUGUCAGUUAAACUCGUUAUUAACGGCGUUAACGCAAACCAAUUUUAACGGCGUUACAUUUUUUAUCGCGCGAUUAACGCAAUUAUUAUAUUUAAAGGGACUCUCACCUUUGUUGCAUUUGAGAAUUACAGCACAUUCAAAUCAUCCCGCCUUCCUCCAAUGCCCCACCCCCUAAGCCGUUAUUUUUUUUUGAGUACUGUAACGACCUCGCCGGUGACAUAAUGAUGUCGAGUCAUUAAUAGUUGAAGGUAGUUUUAAUGAACCAAAACCAGGUCACUGAAACCCGUAACCAACGGCAGAAAACCGACACAAAACAAACCCCGGUUACCCCGGCA